rnacentral:tRNA from 1 species
GGAAGUGUGGCCGAGCGGUUGAAGGCGACCGGUCUUGAAAACCGGCGACCCGAAAGGGUUCCAGAGUUCGAAUCUCUGCGCUUCCGCCA